GCGAAUGGCUCAUUACAACAGCUAUAAUUUACUUGUUCUAUUCCUUUAAACGGAUAACUGUGGUAAUUCUAGAGCUAAUACAUGCACCAAAGCUCCGAUCCUCGCGGAGAGGAGCGCAUUUGUUCGCCACAAAACCAAGCGCCCUUCUGGGCGUCCAGUGCUGAACCAGAACAACUCAGCUGAUCGCACGGUCUUGCACCGGCGACGUGUCUUUCAAGUGUCUGCCUUAUCAACUUUCGAUGGUAGUGUACCUGACUACCAUGGUUGUGACGGGUAACGGAGGAUAAGGGUUCGACUCCGGAGAAGGGGCCUGAGAAAUGGCCACUACGUCUAAGGAUGGCAGCAGGCGCGCAAAUUACCCACUCUCAACGCGAGGAGGUAGUGACGAGAAAUAACAAGACCGUUCUCCUACGAGGCCGGUUAUUGGAAUGGGUACAAUUUAAACCCUUUAACGAGUAUCUAUGAGAGGGCAAGUCUGGUGCCAGCAGCCGCGGUAAUUCCAGCU
rnacentral:rRNA from 1 species